ensembl:snRNA U6 U6 spliceosomal RNA
GUGUACACUUGAGCAGCACAUACACUAAAAUUGGAACAAUGCAGAGAAGAUGAGCACGGCCCCUGCACAGAAUAUCAUACAAAUUCAUGAAGCAUUCCAUCUUUUU